CAGAACGAACGCUGGCGGCGUGCUUAACACAUGCAAGUCGAACGCGAAAGGGACUUCGGUCCUGAGUAAAGUGGCGCACGGGUGAGUAACGCGUAGAUAACCUGUCUUCAUGUCUGGAAUAAUACGCCGAAAGGGGUACUAAUACCGGAUAUUCUUGCUCUUCAUAAGUUAUGCAAGCAAAGGUGGCCUCUGCAUAUGCUACUGCAUGAAGAGGGGUCUGCGUACCAUUAGCUAGUAGGUGGGGUAAUGGCCUACCUAGGCGACGAUGGUUAGCGGGUCUGAGAGGAUGAUCCGCCACACUGGCACUGGAACACAGGCCAGACUCCUACGGGAGGCAGCAGUGAGGAAUAUUGCGCAAUGGGGGAAACCCUGACGCAGCGACGCCGCGUGAGUGAGGAAGGCCUUCGGGUCGUAAAGCUCUGUCAAGAGGAAAGAAGUGUACAAUGGCUAAUACCUGUUGUAUUUGACGGUACCUCUAAAGGAAGCACCGGCUAACUCCGUGCCAGCCGCCGC
rnacentral:rRNA from 1 species